rnacentral:lncRNA from 1 species
CAGCCCAGCAGCUGAAUCAUCCACUCAGCAUGAAGGGCUAAAGGAAAGGCUGCUGGAUGGUAUCUAAGCAGCUACAGGAUCCAUGUUGUUAAAAGAAUCCCUCUUGCUGAUGAGAUUUUAUUUUUCCAUAUCUCAAGAAGGAGGUUCAUCUGCUAUGUUGUAUUUAAAAAGCCUAGGAUGUCCCUUCAUGUGUUAGAGGUUGCGACAGUCAGAUGUCCUGAUGAAAGAGAAAGGGAGGGAAGGACCACAGAAAAGGCCUGGUCCUUGAGUCCAGAAAGUGCUCAAGUCCAGGCUGGCAUGUGUCAAAGGUGAGCACUCAAGGACGAUGUGUCUGCCCCACCCUGACUCCAAUGGGACCCUGGUCAAGGAGCAGCAGGCUGGUAGUGGAGCCGUUUGCACAUAUUUGAGUUUGGGGCUGAGAUGUGACCAGAUGACAACACCCCCAUUCUUGCAGCUCCAUCAGAGGGACAUCCUUUCUUCCCUGGAUGAUGCUGGACACCAGAGGAUGAAGAUAGCAGAAGCGCCACCAAGGAAGUCCAUUUUAAUCACAUUUUAAGUGAAGUGCUAAAAGUGGAGAUGUGGAUGUUUAAAUUUCUUCCCCUCUCCCACACCAGCCUUUGGCUCAGUGUAAGCCAGUGAAUGUGAGGCACAUUUCCGGCCUUACGUCCUCUUCAUACUACAUAUUUCCAUCUCAGGCCCCUCAUCAUAUUUGGGAGAAAAUUGAAGGAGGAGUUGGAAGAACUGGUUUGAAAGUUUUAAUGAUACCAUUUUUUAAAACAAACUCUCACUGAGUGUCAGGUUUGGGACCAGAUGCAAGGAAAGCAGAGGGGGAAUAAUGCAUAUUUACUGGUUAAACAGAGGUUGGAUUCAUGAAGGAUACUGGUAAGUACAUCCAUGGUGAAGGUAUGGUG